rnacentral:rRNA from 1 species
GAUGAACGCUGGCGGCGUGCUUAACACAUGCAAGUCGAACGAUUGAAGCUGGAGCUUGCUCCGGCCGAUUUAGUGGCGGACGGGUGAGUAACGCGUGGGUAACCUGCCUCAUACAGGGGGAUGGCAGUUGGAAACGACUGGUAAAACCGCAUAAGCGCACAGUAUCGCAUGAUACAGUGUGAAAACACUCCGGUGGUAUGAGAUGGACCCGCGUCUGAUUAGCUAGUUGGUGAGGUAACGGCCCACCAAGGCGACGAUCAGUAGUCGGCCUGAGAGGGUGAACGGCCACAUUGGGACUGAGACACGGCCCAAACUCCUACGGGAGGCAGCAGUGGGGAAUAUUGCACAAUGGGGGAAACCCUGAUGCAGCGACGCCGCGUGAGUGAAGAAGUAUUUCGGUAUGUAAAGCUCUAUCAGCAGGGAAG